AAAUUGAAGAGUUUGAUCAUGGCUCAGAUUGAACGCUGGCGGCAGGCCUAACACAUGCAAGUCGAACGGUAACAGGAAGCAGCUUGCUGCUUCGCUGACGAGUGGCGGACGGGUGAGUAAUGUCUGGGAAACUGCCUGAUGGAGGGGGGUAACUACUGGAAACGGUGGCUAAUACCGCAUAACGUCGCAAGACCAAAGAGGGGGACCUUCGGGCCUCUUGCCAUCAGAUGUGCCCAGAUGGGAUUAGCUUGUUGGUGAGGUAAUGGCUCACCAAGGCGACGAUCCCUAGCUGGUCUGAGAGGAUGACCAGCCACACUGGAACUGAGACACGGUCCAGACUCCUACGGGAGGCAGCAGUGGGGAAUAUUGCACAAUGGGCGCAAGCCUGAUGCAGCCAUGCCGCGUGUAUGAAGAAGGCCUUCGGGUUGUAAAGUACUUUCAGCGGGGAGGAAGGUGUUG
rnacentral:rRNA from 1 species